rnacentral:piRNA from 1 species
UGCAAUCCAUGGAGCAGGCUGCAGA